rnacentral:rRNA from 1 species
AUUGAACGCUGGCGGCAGGCCUAACACAUGCAAGUCGAACGGUAACAGAAAGAAGCUUGCUUCUUUGCUGACGAGUGGCGGACGGGUGAGUAAUGUCUGGGAAACUGCCUGAUGGAGGGGGAUAACUACUGGAAACGGUAGCUAAUACCGCAUAACGUCGCAAGACCAAAGAGGGGGACCUUCGGGCCUCUUGCCAUCGGAUGUGCCCAGAUGGGAUUAGCUAGUAGGUGGGGUAACGGCUCACCUAGGCGACGAUCCCUAGCUGGUCUGAGAGGAUGACCAGCCACACUGGAACUGAGACACGGUCCAGACUCCUACGGGAGGCAGCAGUGGGGAAUAUUGCACAAUGGGCGCAAGCCUGAUGCAGCCAUGCCGCGUGUAUGAAGAAGGCCUUCGGGUUGUAAAGUACUUUCAGCGGGGAGGAAGGGAGUAAAGUUAAUACCUUUGCUCAUUGACGUUACCCGCAGAAGAAGCACCGGCUAACUCCGUGCC